GACUUCGUGGCCAAGUUGGUUAAGGCGUAAGACUGUUAAUCUUAAGAUCGUGAGUUCGACCCUCACCGAGGUCGCAA
rnacentral:tRNA from 5 species